rnacentral:lncRNA from 1 species
UGAUGCACUGGUAGCUCCAACGGGUUGCUCAGGUUGACUGUUCAUUCAGGAGAGGACAAACAAUCUGGGAGAUAGUGUCAACAUCAUUAGUUGUUCAACUCUCACGGUGAAACUCCUUGCUGUCAGGUGAAGCUUGAUGAAGCAAAUGAUCAAAGGAUGGAGGGGAGCAAAACUUUGAAGUUCAGAGAGAUUCUCCAAAGUCUGAAGUACUCUGGAAACAUCCUUCUUGCCGAAAAAGCACAGGAGACAGAAGGAGCUGGGAGCUACUACCAGGGCUAAUGCACAAGAAGAAAUUAACAACCAGCCACACUUUGAGAAAUACUUUCACAGCAUUCUCUCUGGCGCACAGUGAGCCUCAGCAUCCACUGACCCUGCUCUGUGAUGGCCUACCACUUGGUGGCUGAGUAGACGUCAUUCCCAAUCGCUUCCAGAGCAGAUGCAAAGCAAGAGUGGUCAGGCCAUAGUGCAGGAGGAUUUGUGGAAACAAGGAAGCAGCAAACAGACUGUACACAAGGAAUGGAGACAGAGCACGGGAGUAGGGAGAAGACACGGAACGGGAGUCGGGAUCGCACUGGGGAUUUAUUGUUGUUUAGAUUGUUACAUCACUGUAAAUAAACGCAAUGCCUUCAUCAUAAAGUCCUGCAUUUUGGGUCCUCCUUCCCCACACACCCACGGUCUGCCACACAGACCAUGACAAGUGUUACUUGUUAAAGUAGAUCAGUAAGGUUUUAAACAUGUUUCGCAGACUCAAACUCUGUACAAAAAGUCAAAAGAUGGUAGGUUAUAAGCACUUGGCAAAUAGAAAGGAUUUUGGUUACAAAAAUGUAGACCAAACCGAG